AGGGCUGCAACGAUUAAUCGAUGUAAUCGAUAAUAAUCGAUAACUGGAUUCGCUGUCGACGAAUCCAGUUAUCGAAUAAUCGCCGAUUCGUUGCUAUGCAGGCGGGCGGUUUACUUUAAGUCACUGCAUCUUUAUUUUACCUUACAAUCGUGACGCUCCAGCUCCUCCAACAGC